GAUGAACGCUGGCGGCGUGCCUAAUACAUGCAAGUAGAACGCUGAAGGAAGGAGCUUGCUCUUUCCGGAUGAGUUGCGAACGGGUGAGUAACGCGUAGGUAACCUGCCUGGUAGCGGGGGAUAACUAUUGGAAACGAUAGCUAAUACCGCAUAACAGUAGAUGUUGCAUGAUAUCUACUUAAAAGGUGCAAUUGCACCACUACCAGAUGGACCUGCGUUGUAUUAGCUAGUUGGUGAGGUAACGGCUCACCAAGGCGACGAUACAUAGCCGACCUGAGAGGGUGAUCGGCCACACUGGGACUGAGACACGGCCCAGACUCCUACGGGAGGCAGCAGUAGGGAAUCUUCGGCAAUGGACGGAAGUCUGGCCGAGCAACGCCGCGUGAGUGAAGAAGGUUUUCCGAUCGUAAAGCUCUGUUGUAAGAGAAGAACGAGUGUGAGAGUGGAAAGUUCACACUGUGACGGUAUCUUACCAGAAAGGGACGGCUAACUACGUG
rnacentral:rRNA from 1 species